AGCAGCCGCGGUAAUUCCAGCUCCAAUAGCGUAUAUUAAAGUUGUUGCAGUUAAAAAGCUCGUAGUUGAACUUCGGGGUUUACUCAUUGGUCAGGCUUAAUUGUCUGUACUGGUGAGAUGAAUCUCUACCUUCUGAGGAACUUUCAUGCCAUUUAUUUGGUGUGGUUGGAAAUCAGGACUGUUACUUUGAAAAAUUAGAGUGUUUAAAGCAGGCUAACGUCUGAAUACAUUAGCAUGGAAUAAUGAAAUAGGACGGAUUGAUUCUAUUUCGUUGGUUUCUAGGGUCACCGUAAUGAUUAAUAGGGAUAGUUGGGGGCAUUAGUAUUCAAUUGUCAGAGGUGAAAUUCUUGGAUUUAUUGAAGACUAACUACUGCGAAAGCAUUUGCCAAGGAUGUUUUCAUUAAUCAAGAACGAAAGUUAGGGGAUCGAAGACGAUCAGAUACCGUCGUAGUCUUAACCAUAAACUAUGCGACUAGGGAUCGGACGAAGUUAAUUAA
rnacentral:rRNA from 1 species